rnacentral:rRNA from 1 species
CAGCAGCCGCGGUAAUACAGAGGGUGCGAGCGUUAAUCGGAUUUACUGGGCGUAAAGCGUGCGUAGGCGGCUUCUUAAGUCGGAUGUGAAAUCCCUGAGCUUAACUUAGGAAUUGCAUUCGAUACUGGGAAGCUAGAGUAUGGGAGAGGAUGGUAGAAUUCCAGGUGUAGCGGUGAAAUGCGUAGAGAUCUGGAGGAAUACCGGUGGCGAAGGCGGCCCCCUGGACAAAGACUGACGCUCAGGUGCGAAAGCGUGGGGAGCAAACAGGAUUAGAUACCCCUGUAGUCCCUGUCUCUUAUAC